AUGGUACACUGGUCCCAAUUUUCAAUCUCUAAUACAUGACUGAUUUAUAUCUUUCCUAUUAAUUUUCUCCCAGUAAGUUCAGAAACAAUAAAAAUGGUAAAACUACCUCAAUGAAGUGUGUGAAUAACUUCAUUACUCCAGAUAUUUUAGAAAUAAAUAAGCUCUAGAAAUAAGAUGCUGGAAUCUUUCAGCACUAUUAAUGUAUUUCCAGCCUGGAAAGAGGUUGUUUAAUUUCAGGAUACUUAUUGUGUUUAUUAUUGAAGAUUAAUCUUUAAGAGAAUAUGAAAUAUGAGAAUAUUCAGAAUAUUAGGCAUAAUUUUCAUUUGAAAGAGGAAUCAGAACUAAGUGUGUGAGAUUAGGUCGCAUAGUGUAAUCAGGUUUAAGGUCUGUUAAUGAUAUUGGAAUAUUUAAGAGGACUUAAUUUACUGUAUUUAUUGUUUUGACUUAUAUUUAUAAUAUUUCUUUAAAUGCAUAGAAAUGGUUUGCUUGAUAAAUCUUAAGAAUACUCUUUGAGGUAUUAAAGUCCUUUAGAAUAUCAUGUUAACUGUAAAAACAGAAUAAAAUGUCAUGGUAAUUUAAUUAGCUAAAUUUGUAAAUGAUUUAGGAGAAUUUAAUAUUUUAACUUGUUCAAUGGAAUAUAUAUUAGACUAAAAGGGGAAUAAAUUAUGAUUUGCAAAUUUAAAUUGUAAGCUUAAAAUAAUCUACGUUUUCAAUUUUAUGAGGUUAAUAAAUUAAACUCUAACACACAUACACAACAAACUGCAAUAGUCCUAAACAAACAAACAAACAAAAAUAGUCCUAAACAUACACAUACUCACAUACAUACUCAUACAAUAUUCAAAUAUUAAAAAUUCAAAAUGACAUAUAUCAGCUGAGUGACCUUGAGAGACUUUAUUAACCUCAUUAGUUUCCCUUUGCUAUUAAAUAAGGAUAAUAAUAGUACCUAUCUCAUAGGGUUGGUUUGAGCAAGCAGAACACCAGAUGAUAUAACGGGAAAAAAAUUCAGAAGUUGCUUGACUUCAAAAACAUGCUCCAAAAUGAUAGCUGUAACCAAAACAAUGAGAUCACAUUGCAAUCUACUGAAUUUGGAUUUUUCUUCCUUUAGUAUGAGGUAUUUCUUAUUUCAUAUGGUGACCUUCAAAGUGAGAAGUUACAUUAUGUUACAGUUUUCUUUUUUUCUGCUGGAUACUGAUUAUUACUUAGAAAUGCCAUUUCCCAGAAAUAAAUAUGAAAGGUGACUUAUGUAACUCAAGGUAUUUUUCAUGUGUCCAUAAGUAAUCACUGAGUAUCUAAUGUUUGCUAGGAUCUAUCUGAGUGCUGGGAAACCAAGGUGAACAGAAGUCACAUGGUAGAUCAAUGUUUUCAUUUUUGUUUUUGUUUUUGAGAGAAAGAGCACUCAACAGGGAGCAUGACCUGAGGCUUGACCUCUUGACCAUGAGAUGAUGAUCUGAGCCAAAAUCAUGAGUCCCAUGCUUAACUGACUGGGCCACCCAGAUGUCCCAAGAUCAAGGCUUUUUUUAAAGAAUAAAGCAAUACUUAACAUUCAGUGAACAUUUACUAUAAGCUAGGGAAAGGUCCUGAGUUUAUGUACUAUAUAUCUUAUUUCUCUUUAAUUGCAUUCUGAUGAAGAUGGUAUUAUUAACAACAUACUUGACAGGAAACAAAACUGAAGCUUUGAGAGUUUCAAGUUCUUCUUGCUCAGGGCCUUGCAGAUAGAAACUACUGGAAUUGACAUUCAAAACCUCACUCACCCAAAAGUCAUUUCCAUACAGACUUCACAGCAUCUCAUUUCCAGCUCAGUCCACUGAAGUGAGCAUCUUAAAAUCUGAAUGAACCUUUUUUGAGGUAUCGUCAAAAGAAAAUGACAUCAAAUUUUAUAUUCCUUAUUAGGGACUUUGUCCUCCGGAACAUGGGAAAAAAGACAGAUUCUCAAUUACAUCUGACUUCCAUCUGUGACAGUUUGGGCUUAGUAGAUGAAGGCCGGAAAUGUUGUCUUUACAAAGAACAGAAAUGACACUCUCCCAGACAGUGUGAGAGACUGAGUACCCUGCCGUCUGUACAGCUACAUGCUUUCCAGAAAGCUGGUUAGGAGAUGCCUGGGUGGUUCAGUGGUUCAGUGUCUGCCUUUGGCUCAGGUCAUGAUCCCAGGGUUUGGGGAUCGAGUCCUACAUCAGCUUCCCCACAGAGAUCCCUACUUCUCCCUCUGCCUAUGUCUCUGCCUCUCUCUCUGUGUGUCUCUCAUGAAUAAAUAAAUGAAAUCUUUAAUAAAAAGCUUAUUGGCUUUUAGUUACCAUUUUAUAUUAUCUUUUAAUUUUUGAAUCACUUUUAUGUGUCUUCUUCUAGCAUCUUGCUUUUUUGUUCUCUUAGGUUUAUUUUUUGUGUGUGUGUUUAUAUUCUUCUACCCUUAUAAACAAAUAAUGAAUCCAUGACAUUUUUUCUUAUGAAUAUUUUAAAUACAUAGAAGGUAAGAGAGAGGAAAGGCAGAAAAUGCAGACCAUCAUAGUCAAGUGCUAUUUCUUUGCCAGCUAUGGAAGUGGGAAUGAAAAUAAUGGAGAAGAGGAAACAUAUGUGACUCUUUCUUUUCUAUCCAGUGACGUUAUUUUACUAGAGCUAAAAAGGAUGAUAAUUUGAAGAUAUGUGAGAGUACUUGUGUGUGUGUCUGUGUGUGUGUGUGUGUCUGUAUGUGCAUGUUGGUGUUAUAAAUA
rnacentral:lncRNA from 1 species